rnacentral:lncRNA from 1 species
CAGGUGCAAUUAAGUUAGCCAAUCAAUAAACCUAACAAUCGAGAGAUUAUCCAGGUGGGCCUGACUUAAUCAUAUAAACUCUUUAAAUCUGGGUGUAGAGGUUAGCGACAGAGAAAUCAGAUACUAGAUGCAUCCUUUCUGACUUGAAGAUGAAGGCAAUUUUGUGACAAGUGAUGCUGGUGGCAUGUAAGACCUGUAAGCAGGCCCCAGCUGACAGUCCGUUAGAAAGGAAACAGGGGCUGCAGUUCUCCAACUGCAAAACACGGAAUUUUGCUUGAAAUUUAACUUGGAAGCAGACUUUCUCCCAGAGCUUCUAGAUGAAAACUCAGCCUGGCCAACCCCUUGGUGUCAGCUUUGUGUUACCCUGAGCAGGUACCCAAGACAUAUGGUUCUGGACUGCGGACCCACGGAAAGGGUGAGCAUCCACAUCUACCACCCGUGACCAGACUUCUCCACCUGUUGGCGAGCUUAAGUUAAAGUUAUCAAUAUAUGCCCCAAAACAGCAAUCACCUGGAUGAGAAGCAGAUGACAUCUAAUGUAGACUGUGAAUCCCAAGACACAGACCAGUUAGCCUUGAGCUAACUGCUGCCAAUCGUCCUCUUUUUGCUGAGGAAGACUGGCCCUGAGCUAACAUCCAUGCUCAUCUUCCUCUGCUUUCUAUGUGGGACGCCUACCACAGCAUGGCUUGCCAAGCGGUGCCAUGUCCCCCGCACCUGGGAUCUGAAACUGCAAACCCUGGGCCACUGAAGCAGAACAUGCACACUUAACUGCUGCGCCACCAGCCAGCCUCUGUAUGUGUCUUUCUGAUACUACCUUUUCACUCAACUUUAUGAUUUUGAGGUUCAUCAAUAUUAGUACUUGUGAUAACUACAUCACGUAGAGUUUUACUGCUAUAUAUUAUUUACAUUUAUCAAAAUUACUGAUGUAUUUGAAAGUUUCACCAUCUUGUUUUAUGCUUUCUAAACAUAUUCUCUUAUAUCUUGCGUUUCUAUAUGAGUUUUCAAUUUUUUCCUAUGUGCCCAUUUGUAAAUAUUUUACUUUAUUUUGAUUAAUUUAUAUUUACCAUAAAUUUUUAUUAUGCAAAUUUGAAUUAGUAUUUUUAUUCCUUAUCUCUAUUCUGAAACUUAAAUAUCCAAACAACGUAAAACACUUUAAAUUUAAUUACUCAACUAUUUAUCUUUAACACUCUUGUUUUUCAAGGUAUUAGUCUUUGUGAUAUAAUAUUUUUAGGUAUAUUGACAUAAAUACUUGCUAAUAUUUAUUUUAGGAUCGUUGCACCUAAAUUCAUGAAUGAAACUAAUCUAUAAUUUUCCUUCCUUGUAAUGUCCAUGUCAAAUUUGGGAUUCAGGUUAGAAUUUGCCCAAAGAAAAUUUUCUUCUUUUCUAUUCUGGAAAAAGAGUUCAUUGAAGUUUCGUGUAAUUUCCUCCUUUAGUAUUUGAGGGAAAACUCACUGUUGAUGCCAUCUGGAGCUGGAAAUUUCUCUGCAAAGACUUGAAUUUCUUCAAAAUAGAUAAAACUUUAAUGUUUUCUUUUCUUUCCCAUUUUCCUUUUCUUCAAGCAUGUACAAAGGCGUGUUUUCUUCUAAAAAAAUAUUGCAAAUUGCAAUCAUUUGCAACCAUUCAAAUUGUCAAAUUUAUUGGCACAUAUUUCUUUUAGUUCAUUUUCAUGAUCAAUAUUUUUCAUCCAACUAUAAACAUAUCUUUGUCUUUAUAUUUAACAUAUUUCUCUUAAGCAACACAGCUUUAUUUUCAUCCAUUCUGAUAAUCAAUUUUACUUUUACUAUCAAUAUUCUAUUUGACCAUCUGCUUGAAUUUCCACUUUUAGUCCUUUCCUGCUAUCUUUUGGACUAAUAAGUUUUUAAUUAUUACACUUUUUCUAUUACUUUCUUGGCUCCUUUCCCCUUUACAACUUCUUAUUCUUAUAAUGGAUACGUGGAAGCAUCCUUGAUUUAUUGUAGUCCAAAACAAAUUAUUAUUUUUAUCAAUUCCCUGGUAUUGCUAAAAUAUUAGAAUAUUUAAACUCUAUUUCCCUCUUCUAUAUUUUAUUUUAUUUAUUUUAGUUUUACAUAUAUUUUAAACUCUAUAAACAUUAUUUUUACAGUCAAAUUUUUAUAUUUACUCAUACAUUUAUCAUUUUUGAUAUUCUUCAUUUGCUGCUAUAUUCCUGCAUUACAGACCUUAUUUAUUUUACUUCUGCCUGACAAGCUCAUAGUUUUUUCUGCUGGCUGUUGACAAAUGCCUCUGGUUUUGUUUAUCUGAAAAGUCUUUAUUUCAACUUGAUUUUGGAAGGCUAUUUUUAUUGUGUGUAAAAUUCAACAUUAGCAAUUAUUUUCUUCCAGGACAUUGCAAAUGCCAUUCCGUAAUGCCCUGAAUUUCAUCUUUUAAAAGUUAGCUGUCAUUGUCAUUGUUUUCCCUUCAAAGGCCUGUGUUCCCUGCCCCACAUGUAAACACCUGGCUGUUUUGAAGAUUUUUCCUUUUUGUCCCUGGUUGUCUGCAGCUUUACUAUAAUGUUCUCUGAUUUGGUUUUUCUUGUAUUUAACUUUCGGACUUUACUGAGCUUCUUAAAUGUGUAGAUUAAUACUUUCCAUUAGUUGCAGAUAAUUGUCACCCAUUGUCUCUUCAUAUAUUGGUUUUGUUUUCUCCCCUCCCCUCCCUUCUCAUUCUAGGUUUCUUUCUAUAUAUAUGUUAGUCAAUUUGAGCAUGUAUAAUAUGUCAAGACUGUUUUGUAAUUUUUGAUUAUUUUAUACUCUGUGCUACUCCCUAGAUAUUUUCAGUUGAAAAACUUAUGUUAGUCUGUGUUCAAUUUUCUGAUAAUCCUUCCUUUUAGUUAUUCAUUUCAUGUACUGUCACUUUGAAUUCUAGAAUUUUAUGUGUAUUUUACAAUUUAAUACUAUCAAAAUUCUCCAUCUCUUCCUCUCUUUUGUUAGUUUCCCCCUCUAUUUUCUUUAGCAUAUUAAUUAGAGAUCUUUUAACAUCUUUGCCUAUUCUAACUUGAUUGUCUUUGGAUAUGUUCUAAUUGCCUAUUCAUUUUUUUCUCUAGUCAUAUUUCCAUGCCUCGCUUCUAUUUUCAGUGUAUACGAUUGUGUGUGUGUGAGUGUGGAUUUUCUAAUUGCAUGCGGAUCAUUAUUCAUAAACAAACUGUUGAUGUUCCAGGUGAUGAUAUCAUUUUCCAGUGAAUAUUCCCCUUUCCUCUAUUACACAGAUAUGAGAACAAGCAACAGAUUUUUUAUUUUGAUAUUUGUUAUUGUCAAAUUGAUCACUCUUUCUGUUUAUGAUUUGUAUUAAUUCUUUCUUAUUUAAGAAAGUCUUAUUCAGUGCAAAAUCAUAAAAUUUGCCCCCUUUUCUGUUCCCUGGUAGUUUUCUAGUUUGUGUUUUGACAUUUAAGCCAAUAAACCAUCUAAAAUUCUAUUUU